rnacentral:rRNA from 1 species
AUUGAACGCUGGCGGCAUGCCUUACACAUGCAAGUCGAACGGUAACAGAUCUUCGGAUGCUGACGAGUGGCGAACGGGUGAGUAAUACAUCGGAACGUGCCUAGUAGUGGGGGAUAACUACUCGAAAGAGUGGCUAAUACCGCAUGAGAUCUACGGAUGAAAGCAGGGGAUCGCAAGACCUUGUGCUACUAGAGCGGCCGAUGGCAGAUUAGGUAGUUGGUGGGAUAAAAGCUUACCAAGCCGACGAUCUGUAGCUGGUCUGAGAGGACGAUCAGCCACACUGGGACUGAGAGACGGCCCAGACGCCAACGGGAGGCAGCAGUUUGGAAUUUUGGAAAAUGGGCGCAAGCCUGUUCCAGCAAUGCCGCGUGCAGGAUGAAGGCCUUCUGGUUGUAAACUGAUUUUGUACGGAACGAAAAGCCCUGGGUUAAUACCCUGGGGUCAUGACGGUACCGUAAGAAUAAGCACCGGCUAACUACGUGCCAGCCGCCGCAGUAACAC